UACGUAGGGGGCCAGCGUUGUCCGGACUUACUGGGCGUAAAGCGCGCGCAGGCGGUGGGGUAUGUGCCGCGUGAAAGCGCCGGGCUUAGCCCGGCGAGGUCGUGGUAGACAGCCCCACUCGAGGCUUGGAGAGGUCGAUGGAAUUCCGGGUGGAGCGGUGAAAUGCGUAGAUAUCGCUUGGAACGCCGAAGGUGAAAACAGGCUGCUGGGGUUGCGCCGACGCUGAGACACGAAAGCCAGGGGAGCAAACGGGG
rnacentral:rRNA from 1 species